UACGUAGGGCGCAAGCGUUGUCCGGAAUUAUUGGGCGUAAAGAGCUCGUAGGCGGUUUGUCGCGUCUGCUGUGAAAACCUAAGGCUCAACCUUGGGCUUGCAGUGGGUACGGGCAGACUAGAGUGCGGUAGGGGUGACUGGAAUUCCUGGUGUAGCGGUGGAAUGCGCAGAUAUCGGGAGGAACACCGAUGGCGAAGGCAGAUCUCUGGGCCGUAACUGACGCUGAGGAGCGAAAGCAUGGGGAGCGAACAGG
rnacentral:rRNA from 1 species